GAACCAGGGGGUCGGGUUGCUCUGCCUGGCGGAGCGAUCUAGGGGUACAGGGGGUGCCUCCGGUAACGGACCAGGUUCGGCAGGCG
rfam:Pseudomonas balearica DSM 6083 genome assembly, contig: Ga0056079_101